rnacentral:tRNA from 1 species
GCCCCAGUAGCUUACACCACAAAGCAUUGUUCUUGUAAACCAAAGACGGAGUUUACCCCCUAGGGCA